rnacentral:rRNA from 1 species
GCGGAUGAACUGUGGGUAGCGGAGAAAUUCCAAUCGAACCCGGAGAUAGCUGGUUCUCCCCGAAAUAGUUUUAGGACUAGCCUCAAGUUAGAUACCUGGAGGUAAAGCACUGAAUAGCCUAGCGGCCGAGAGGUUAGCGAAGCUUAUCAAACUCAGAAUGCCAGAGUAUUGAUGCUUGGGAGUCAGACAGUGUCAGAUAAAUGUCAUUGUCAAAAGGGAAACAGCCCAGAUCUACAGCUAAGGUCCCAAAGUCAGGUUAAGUGGAAAACGAUGUGAAGAUACGCAGACAACCAGGAUGUUGGCUCAGAAGCAGCCACUCAUUCAAAGAGUGCGUAAUAGCUCACUGGUCGAGCGUCUUUGCGCGGAGAAUUUAACGGGGCUAAACCUGACACCGAAGCUUAGGCAGCAUGUUUACAUGCUGGGUAGGGGAGCGUUGUAUACGCGGUGAAACAGUAGCGCAAGCGGCUGUGGAGUGUAUAGAAGUGAGAAUGCCGGAAUGAGUAGCGCGAAUGCAGUGAGAAUCUGCAUGGCCGAAAGCCUCAGGUUUUUGGAGGAAGGUUCGUCCGCUCCAAGUUAGUCGGGAGCUAAGGUGAGGCCGAAAGGCGUAGCCGAUGCACAGACGGUAGAGAUUCCGUCACCACCAAAAGAGUUAAGCACAGGGACACAUUUGAAGUCUCAGAGCCGGGUGUUGGUUCCGGUAGAGAUCGAGGGAAGUUAGUACCGAAGUCUGGGAUGGAAGAUGGCGAGAAAAGCUGUGUGUAUUUCUGAGGUGCCCGUACCGCAAACCGACACAGGUAGGUAGGAAGAAGAUUCUAAGGCCAACGGGAGAAGGGUUGUUAAGGAACUCGGCAAAUUGACCCCGUAACUUCGGGAGAAGGGGUGCUCCAGAGAUGGAGCCGCAGAGAAUCGGCCCAAGCAACUGUUUACCAAAAACACAGGUUUGUGCUAAAUCGAAAGAUGACGUAUACGAGCUGACGCCUGCCCGGUGCUGGAAGGUUAAGAGGAGAUGUGCAAGCAUUGAAUCGAAGCCCCAGUGAACGGCGGCCGUAACUAUAACGGUCCUAAGGUAGCGAAAUUCCUUGUCAGGUAAGUUCUGACCCGCAUGAAAGGCGUAAUGAUUUGGGCACUGUCUCAACAGCCCGCCCGGCGAAAUUGUAGUACCGGUGAAGAUGCCGGUUACCCGCGACAAGACGGAAAGACCCCAUGGAGCUUUACUGUAGCCUAAUAUUGGGUUUCGAUGUUGCAUGCACAGGAUAGAUGGGACACAGGGAAACAAUCGCUUUGGCGGUUGCGGAGUGGCCGUUGGGAUACCAUCCUUGCGAUAUUGGAAUUCUAACCUGCGGCUCUGAAUCGAGUCGGGGGACAUUGUUAGGUGGGCAGUUUGACUGGGGCGGUCGCCUCCUAAAGAGUAACGGAGGCGUUCAAAGGUUCGCUCAGCUUGAACGGAAAUCAAGCAAAAGAGUGCAAACGCAGAAGCGAGCCUAACUGCGAGACUGACGGGUCGAGCAGUAACGAAAGUUGGAGUUAGUGAUCCGGUGGUAUGUGAGUGGAAAUGCCAUCGCUCAACGGAUAAAAGUUACCCUGGGGAUAACAGGCUGAUCUCCCCCAAGAGUCCACAUCGACGGGGAGGUU